rnacentral:rRNA from 1 species
UACAGAGGGGGCAAGCGUUAUUCGGAAUUACUGGGCGUAAAGGGCGCGUAGGCGGCCUUCUAAGUCGAACGUGAAAUCCCCGGGCUCAACCCGGGAACUGCGUCCGAUACUGGAAGGCUUGAAUCCGGGAGAGGGAUGCGGAAUUCCAGGUGUAGCGGUGAAAUGCGUAGAUAUCUGGAGGAACACCGGUGGCGAAGGCGGCAUCCUGGACCGGCAUUGACGCUGAGGCGCGAAAGCCAGGGGAGCAAACGGG